rnacentral:lncRNA from 1 species
ACUUGAAAUUAAGCUGCAAGUGAUGCAUAUGGGUGAGAUCUUUUCCUACCUUAUGAGAAGUUUUCGCUUAUAACAUGCAACUAAAUUCAGGAGAAUUUAUUGACUACUUUCAAUGUACUAAGGGACCUUCAAUAAGGAGAUGUGGCAUCUCUUGAUAUCUUUUAACCGCAAAGCAAUUAAGUAGAUGCAUAUUGCAAUACUUCAUUAAAGGAAAAAUACUGUAAUAAUUUGUUGUGUGUUUAUCUAUCUACGCAUGCAUCUAAGCACCCAUGUGUCCGUGUGUCUAUCUCUACAAGUUGUCUUAUCCUUUCCACCUAAGUUGCUCCAGACAUUAUAAAAAAAUUCGAAUGUUCAGGUGCUCUAUUAUGUUUCAAGAAGAGCAGAAUAAAGACAUUUCUAAUAAUUUGAACACAGAGGUCUUAGGACAAGAAAUAUAAGCUAUGGAUAACAGCCAACAAGAUCCUGCAAGCUAUCUAUGUUGCCUGACAGCUCUAGGACACCUUCACAAAUCAAUUUUCAGGGUCAUUUUUCUGAUGCAGCCUAGUUUAGUGAAGCAUUUGGAUGGAACAAAGAACUGCAUAGGAUGGUAGGACACUUACUGAGAUCACAAG